GUAACCGCGAAGGCCGCGGCCUAAGUUCUGCCGGGCUACUACGAGUCCGACUACCGCUGCCCUAGUAGCAGGGAAUGCAGGAAGGACAUCGAAGGUGGCAGGAGAAGCCGGAAGGUCCCCGUGGGCCGUUAAAGGUAGCAUACUUUAAAAAAACAGGGCAAGAAACUUUUGGAGAAACACAUCAAUCUCCCCUUUACCUGUGUUUCCUUGAAUCGACAGAAGAUCAUUUGUGACACCGCGUAGGGUUUCCAGGGUCGAGUGGGUUACAUCAUACGUUGGAAGUACUACGUCAGCUGAAUCCUCAGAGCCACACCAUGAAAUGAUAGGGCCUCUGCUGGAAUCAGGAGCAGAAAUAUUCUUGCACUUCUUAUUGUGCCCCAAUGCUCUCAAGCUUUCUGACUGAUGCUCUUCUUGCUGCAGACUUUGAGGAAUUGGCGCCCUUGUGCAGUUACCAGUAACAGAAGAAGUUGAUUUGGCUUGCCUUUCUGAGCCCGAUGGGAGUGGUGGUUUAAGAAGCACGUUAUUCUGUGGGACAGUUACAGAAGAGUUCUUAGAAGGAGCUAUCGAAGGUUCUGUUGGACUAUUUGAAUCUAUUUGCUGAGAAACUGGUUCAAAUGUCCCUUCUUUUGCAUCUCCACUGCCCACGCUACCUGACUGAGCACAAGGAUAUGUAUCUUCAACAGCUGGGCCAAAUUCCAUUAACGACCGUGUCCUAAGAAGGCUCUCUGGAUAUUGUGGAUGUUCAGAAGACUGUGGUGCAUUCCAUACGACAGAAGACAGGGGAGUCCGCCUUGGAUAGAGGCGACAGUUCCUUUGUGUGAAUCUUCCGUUGCCUUCCAUUGCUGAAGGAUGUUGUAGGCCAACUAUGGAAAGCUGGUCAGCAGAUCCCAACGACUGGCGCCUUGCAAGACAAGACAAAGAAUAACUCCUGCUAACGUUAUCUGUAUACAUGAAGUCCUUGUGCCCAAAUCCAUUGCUGGGUGUUGCUGAGGAAUAUCCAAGGGAACCUUCUGAGCAUUGUCCAAGAGAACGUGUGGAGUGCCCUCUCUUCAAGGUAGUAGACCCAGACCCAACAUCCCAGUAAGCAUAGUCUUCUGCAUGGUGCCUUUUAAAAUAUGUAUCAUAAAACAUCCUUGGUCUGA